GAGGAAAAGAAACUAACAAGGAUUCCCCUAGUAACUGCGAGUGAAGCGGGAAAAGCUCAAAUUUAAAAUCUGGCGGUCUUUGGCUGUCCGAGUUGUAAUCUAGAGAAGUGUUAUCCGCGCUGGACCGUGUACAAGUCUCCUGGAAUGGAGCGUCAUAGAGGGUGAGAAUCCCGUCUUUGACACGGACUGCCAGGGCUUUGUGAUGCGCUCUCAAAGAGUCGAGUUGUUUGGGAAUGCAGCUCAAAAUGGGUGGUAAAUUCCAUCUAAAGCUAAAUAUUGGCGAGAGACCGAUAGCGAACAAGUACCGUGAGGGAAAGAUGAAAAGAACUUUGGAAAGAGAGUUAAACAGUACGUGAAAUUGCUGAAAGGGAAACGCUUGAAGUCAGUCGCGUUGGCCGGGGAUCAACCUUGCUUUUGCUGGGCGUACUUUCCGGUCGACGGGUCAGCAUCAAUUUUGACCGUUGGAUAAAGGCUGAGGGAAUGUGGCUCCUUCGGGAGUGUUAUAGCCCUUGGUCGCAUACAACGAUUGGGAUUGAGGAACUCAGCACGCCGCAAGGCCGGGUACUUGUACCACGUUCGUGCUUAGGAUGCUGGCAUAAUGGCUUUAAUCGACCCGUCUUGAA
rnacentral:rRNA from 1 species